ACUUACACAUGCAAGCAUCCACGCCCCGGUGAGAAUGCCCUCUGAAUCUUUAAGACCAAGAGGAGCGGGUAUCAAGCACACACCCUGUAGCUCAUAACACCUUGCUUAACCACACCCCCACGGGAGACAGCAGUGACAAAAAUUAAGCCAUAAAUGAAAGUUUGACUAAGUUAUAUUGACUAGGGUUGGUAAAUCUCGUGCCAGCCACCGCGGUCAUACGAUUAACCCAAGCUAACAGGAAUACGGCGUAAAACGUGUUUAAGCGCCGCACCAAAUAGAGUUAAAUUUUAAUUAAACUGUAAAAAGCCAUAAUUACAAUAAAAGUAAAUGACGAAAGUAACUCUACAACAGCUGACACACUAUAGCUAAGACCCAAACUGGGAUUAGAUACCCCACUAUGCUUAGCCCUAAACACAAAUAAUUACAAAAACAAAAUUAUUCGCCAGAGUAUUACCGGCAACAGCCUAAAACUCAAAGGACUUGGCGGUGCUUUACACCCUUCUAGAGGAGCCUGUUCUAUAAUCGAUAAACCCCGAUAGACCUCACCAAUUCUUGCUAAUACAGUCUAUAUACCGCCAUCUUCAGCAAACCCUAAAAAGGAAUAAAAGUAAGCACAAUCACAACACAUAAAAACGUUAGGUCAAGGUGUAACCUAUGAAAUGGGAAGAAAUGGGCUACAUUUUCUACUGCAAGAAAAUCACACGAAAGUUAUUAUGAAAUUAAUAACCAAAGGAGGAUUUAGUAGUAAACUAAGAAUAGAGUGC
rnacentral:rRNA from 1 species